CCUACGGGGGGCAGCAGUGGGGAAUAUUGGACAAUGGGGGGAACCCUGAUCCAGCCAUGCCGCGUGUGUGAAGAAGGCCCUCGGGUUGUAAAGCACUUUCAGUGAGGAAGAACGCCUGGUGGUUAAUACCCAUCAGGAAAGACAUCACUCACAGAAGAAGCACCGGCUAACUCCGUGCCAGCAGCCGCGGUAAUACGGAGGGUGCGAGCGUUAAUCGGAAUUACUGGGCGUAAAGCGCGCGUAGGUGGCUUGAUAAGCCGGUUGUGAAAGCCCCGGGCUCAACCUGGGAACGGCAUCCGGAACUGUCAAGCUAGAGUGCAGGAGAGGAAGGUAGAAUUCCCGGUGUAGCGGUGAAAUGCGUAGAGAUCAGGAGGAAUACCAGUGGCGAAGGCGGCCUUCUGGACUGACACUGACACUGAGGUGCGAAAGCGUGGGUAGCAAACAGGAUUAGAUACCCCUGUAGUC
rnacentral:rRNA from 1 species